AGAGUUUGAUCCUGGCUCAGGACGAACGCUGGCGGCGUGCUUAACACAUGCAAGUCGAACGGACAGAGAUGGAAGCUUGCUUCUAUCAAAGUUAGUGGCGGACGGGUGAGUAACGCGUGGGUAACCUGCCUUUAAGAGGGGGAUAACACUUCGAAAGGAGUGCUAAUACCGCAUAACAUUAUUUUACUGCAUGGUAGGAUAAUCAAAGGAGCAAUCCGCUUAAAGAUGGACCCGCGUCUGAUUAGCUAGUUGGUAGGGUAAUGGCCUACCAAGGCGACGAUCAGUAGCCGGCCUGAGAGGGUGAUCGGCCACACUGGGACUGAGACACGGCCCAGACUCCUACGGGAGGCAGCAGUGGGGAAUCUUCCGCAAUGGGCGCAAGCCUGACGGAGCAACGCCGCGUGAGUGAA
rnacentral:rRNA from 1 species